rnacentral:rRNA from 1 species
GAACCAUCGAGUCUUUGAACGCAAGUUGCGCCCCAAGCCAUUAGGCCGAGGGCACGUCUGCCUGGGUGUCACGC